rnacentral:rRNA from 1 species
UACGGAGGGUGCGAGCGUUAAUCGGAAUUACUGGGCGUAAAGCGUGCGCAGGCGGUUUGUUAAGCGAGAUGUGAAAGCCCCGGGCUCAACCUGGGAUGGUCAUUUCGAACUGGCAAGCUAGAGUCUCGUAGAGGGGGGUAGAAUUCCAGGUGUAGCGGUGAAAUGCGUAGAGAUCUGGAGGAAUACCGGUGGCGAAGGCGGCCCCCCUGGACGAAGACUGACGCUCAGGCACGAAAGCGUGGGGAGCAAACAGG